CCUACGGGAGGCAGCAGUGGGGAAUAUUGCGCAAUGGGCGAAAGCCUGACGCAGCGACGCCGCGUGAGGGAUGAAGGUCUUCGGAUCGUAAACCUCUGUCAGCAGGGAAGAACGGUCACUGUGCUAAUCAGCAGUGAAUUGACGGUACCUGCAAAGGAAGCACCGGCUAACUCCGUGCCAGCAGCCGCGGUAAUACGGAGGGUGCGAGCGUUAAUCGGAAUUACUGGGCGUAAAGCGCUCGUAGGCGGUAUGUCAAGUCAAGGGUGAAAUCCCCGCGCUCAACGUGGGAACUGCCGUUGAAACUGGCAAACUGGAGUGUGUGAGAGGAUAGUGGAAUGCCAGGUGUAGGAGUGAAAGCCGUAGAUAUCUGGAGGAACAUCAGUGGCGAAGGCGACUAUCUGGCACAUAACUGACGCUGAGGAGCGAAAGCGUGGGUAGCAAACAGGAUUAGAUACCCCUGUAGUC
rnacentral:rRNA from 1 species